GUUUUGGCACCUCCCAUGCCAAGAUCUUCAGCAAACUUAAGCAAGCCUGAGACCAGAAAGAAAAGGAUCUUUUAAAAGAGAACAAGACAGCAUGUUCUCAGGUGAGGAUAAAAAAGAGAAUCAGUACAGUCUGACAAUAAGGAUCCAUCCAGUACUAAUGGGCACCCCAGCACCCUGGUAGUGGCCUCCAAAUACCAUGUGCUGCUAAGAGAACUGGAGUUCCUUGAAGAAAUGUUUGUACAAGGACUUCCGCCAAGAUGGAGGCAUAGGUGGAAGCACUGUGCCUCCUUCCACAACCAAGUUUAAAAACAACAAAGUUUUAGCAACAAAAACCACAGAAAAUUGAACUUCACGGAAGUCUGACAACAACAAACCCUUCAGCCAAACCGUUCUGGCUUCUCCUUGGCAGCUACGAUACCAAGGAGUUGAUCUUGGAGACCUAAGGGAGUGAUCAUGAAGUUGAGGAGGCAGA